rnacentral:lncRNA from 1 species
GUAUUGUAUUGGAGCAGAGGAAGGCUAAAUUAACCUAGAAGGAGUCACCAGUUCAUGCCAGUCACAGGCUUUGGCAAAGAGAAAAGAAAUCACUACAACAGUGAAACAAGAUUAAGAAAAGAUUUAACUAGCUGGGCCAGGGCUAGCAUUAAUCUGACCACCACUAUUUUGUCCUAUGAUUUGGAUUUAAUGGCUCAUGACAAUCGACCAC